GGCAGGAAGAGUUUCAGAGUUUGGAGAAGAAAGUAGGAAAGGAAUGUGGAGAAAGGUUUGAACGCACGGCAGUGAUCAGGUUUCCUCUAAAGAAAGCCUUAAACCAGCUGCUUCUCUCUGAGAGCCACUCGAGAGGUCUGGAACCUGAAGGGACGAGUCCUCGUUGGAGACGAGAUGUUUGAAGCGCUCAGCUCAGUGAUUAUAAGGAGGGUCUGCUUCCUGCAGACUUUAUCUUUGCACAGGAAAGUCCGCUCCCUUCUGUGCAGAGGUGUGGUCAGCACGCAAACACACACUGCUUAAUGAUCCCUUACGCAACACUACUCCACCCAGCCCCCCACCCAUCGCUAACCCAAACCACACCAUGCCACGACACACAGAUACAGCACAUGGGGUUCCAACUCCCAUCCCCCAACACGCACCGCCACACUAUUCUCACUCAGUGAAGUUUAUUUACUAAUCCUCGCCCUGACCAAUAUGGACACUCUGUUGCAGCCUCCUCUUCUUUACAACA